UAUCUACCCCACUGCUUAUGGCACGUAGUAAGCGCUCAACAACGACCAUUAAAAAAAAUAGGGGGACCCCUGAAGCAGGGUGACCCCUAAAUGAGUGCCAUCCAACGAGUCCCCCCCAGUUGGGCGGCCCCGCCCGGUGGAAGAGGGAUGGCGUCCACGGGCGUUUCCUUGCCUGGCAUUUGCGAGGGCACCGAGGGCCACCGAAGGGUACGAGGGGCACAGGACCCAAGGUUCCGUCUUCAUGAGCACCCUAGGAGGUCGGGACUGUGGAUCCCGCCCUGGGCUUUUCAAGAAAUACACACGUAUCCGCAGGCGAAUCUCACCAUCGGAAUCGCAUCUUCUAGUGUGAAGAAGACUGGACUGUGAGCCUGUUGUCGGGAAGAAGAUACCUAGAGAAAUGAGGGAGUGCAGCAGGAAAUCAAGGCAGAGAAGCAAAGGGGGGGGAGAAAUCUCCCCAACGUGAACGCGAGAGAGAGCAGCUCCAGCUGUGGGGAGAGAACUGGAAGAAGAAGAGGAGCAGCUAAAGGCGGAGAGGUGGGGCUGGUGGAAUAUGUUUUGUCCACCAGGUCCCGCCGUUGCUGAGGAGGAGGAUUGGGGAAUAUCUGCUGGGAAGCACAGUGUCACUCGCCAAACACGUGUCGGAGAGAUAAUUUACUGAACUCCUGGUUUUCGGGAUCGGAGGGUCUCCAGUUGAGGGCGGGGAGCGGGACCUAAUCGAAGAUGCCCUCAAAAAUUUACGCAAGCCCCCCGGAGUGGAGCCGCCCCGAUCUUCAUUCGGCAAGAAUCGUAGAACAUUCCAGAACGGAACUGCGGCCUCACAGGGAAAGCCAAAUUCGGUGAAACUGAAGACCUUUCUUUUGCAAUUCUCAGUAAGCCGUACCGUUUCCAGGAAGACUUUCCCUCCCGUGGAGUUGCAAAAACCCAGUCCUUAAGCAAACGGCAUAAAACACUUUCUUUAACCAUAA